AGAGUUUGAUCCUGGCUCAGAACGAACGCUGGCGGCGUGCCUAACACAUGCAAGUCGAACGAGAAGGGGGCUUCGGUCCCUGGAAAGUGGCGCACGGGUGAGUAACGCGUGGAUAAUCUACCUAGCGGUCUGGGAUAACAUCUCGAAAGGGGUGCUAAUACCGGAUAAGCCCACGAGGUCUACGGACCUAGCGGGAAAAGGGGGGGACCUUCGGUCCUUUUGCCACUGGAUGAGUCCGCGUACCAUUAGCUAGUUGGUGGGGUAAUGGCCCACCAAGGCUACGAUGGUUAGCUGGUCUGAGAGGAUGAUCAGCCACACUGGGACUGAGACACGGCCCAGACUCCUACGGGAGGUAGCAGUGGGGAAUUUUGCGCAAUGGGGGAAACCCUGACGCAGCAACGCCGCGUGAGUGAUGAAGGCCUUCGGGUCGUAAAGCUCUGUCAGAGGGAAAGAAGUGUGGGAGGGUUAAUACCCCUUUCACUUGACGGUACCCUCAAAGGAAGCACCGGCUAACUCCGUGCCAGCAGCCGCGGUAA
rnacentral:rRNA from 1 species